AAUGGCCGAAAGGCUGACGGAGCAACGCCGCGUGAUGGAUGAAGGCCUUCGGGUUGUAAACAUCUUUUUUCAGGGAAGAAUUCUGACGGUACCUGACGAAUAAGAGGUUGCUAACUCUGUGCCAGCAGCAGCGGUAAUACAGAGACCUCAAGCGUUACCCGGAUUUAUUGGGCGUAAAGCGUCCGCAGGUGGUUUCGUGCGUCUUGUGUUAAAUGUAGGGGCUUAACCUCGGCACUGCGCAAGAUACGGCGAAACUUGAGACUGGGAGAGGUAAGCGGAACUACCGGUGUAGUAGUAAAAUGCGUUAAUAUCGGUAUGAACACCAAAAGCGAAAGCAGCUUACUGGAACAGUUCUGACACUCAUGGACGAAAGCGUAGGGAGCGAAAGGGAUU
rnacentral:rRNA from 1 species